GACAGAGGGUGCAAACGUUGUUCGGAAUUACUGGGCAUAAAGAGCACGUAGGUGGUCUGCUAAGUCGUGUGUGAAAUCCCCCGGCUCAACCGGGGAAUUGCGCUCGAUACUGGCAGGCUCGAGGUGGGUAGGGGUGAGCGGAACUCCAGGUGGAGCGGUGAAAUUCGUAGAUAUUGGGAGGAACACCAGUGGCGAAGGCGGGCGACCUGGGCCAAUAUUGACGCUGAGGUGCGAAAGCGU
rnacentral:rRNA from 1 species